GGGGAAUAUUGCACAAUGGGCGCAAGCCUGAUGCAGCGACGCCGCGUGCGGGAUGACGGCCUUCGGGUUGUAAACCGCUUUUGAUCGGGAGCAAGCCUUCGGGUGAGUGUACCUUUCGAAUAAGCACCGGCUAACUACGUGCCAGCAGCCGCGGUAAUACGUAGGGUGCAAGCGUUAUCCGGAAUUAUUGGGCGUAAAGGGCUCGUAGGCGGUUCGUCGCGUCCGGUGUGAAAGUCCAUCGCUUAACGGUGGAUCUGCGCCGGGUACGGGCGGGCUGGAGUGCGGUAGGGGAGACUGGAAUUCCCGGUGUAACGGUGGAAUGUGUAGAUAUCGGGAAGAACACCAAUGGCGAAGGCAGGUCUCUGGGCCGUUACUGACGCUGAGGAGCGAAAGCGUGGGAAGCGAACAGGAUUAGAUACCCUGGUAGUCCACGCCGUAAACGGUGGAUGCUGGAUGUGGGGCCCGUUCCACGGGUUCCGUGUCGGAGCUAACGCGUUAAGCAUCCCGCCUGGGGAGUACGGCCGCAAGGCUAAAACUCAAAGAAAUUGACGGGGGCCCGCACAAGCGGCGGAGCAUGCGGAUUAAUUCGAUGCAACGCGAAGAACCUUACCUGGGCUUGACAUGUUCCCGACAGCCGUAGAGAUGCGGCCUCCCUUCGGGGGCGGGUUCACAGGUGGUGCAUGGUCGUCGUCAGCUCGUGUCGUGAGAUGUUGGGUUAAGUCCCGCAACGAGCGCAACCCUCGCCCUGUGUUGCCAGCACGUCAUGGUGGGAACUCACGGGGGACCGCCGGGGUCAACUCGGAGGAAGGUGGGGAUGACGUCAGAUCAUCAUGCCCCUUACGUCCAGGGCUUCACGCAUGCUACAAUGGCCGGUACAACGGGAUGCGACAUGGCGACAUGGAGCGGAUCCCUGAAAACCGGUCUCAGUUCGGAUUGGAGUCUGCAACCCGACUCCAUGAAGGCGGAGUCGCUAGUAAUCGCGGAUCAGCAACGCCGCGGUGAAUGCGUUCCCG
rnacentral:rRNA from 1 species